CCCUUAGAUGUUCUGGGCCGCACGCGCGCUACACUGAUGAAUUCAACGAGCUCCUAACCUAGGCCGAAGGGUCCGGGUAAUCUUUGAAAUUUCAUCGUGAUGGGGAUAGAUUAUUGCAAUUAUUAAUCUUCAACGAGGAAUUCCUAGUAAGCGCGAGUCAUCAGCUCGCGUUGAUUACGUCCCUGCCCUUUGUACACACCGCCCGUCGCUCCUACCGAUGGAAUGGUCCGGUGAAAUGUUCGGACCGCGACAAGGCGGACGGUUCGCUGUCAGCUUUGCUGCGGGAAGUUCAUUAAACCUUAUCAUUUAGAGGAAGGAGAAGUCGUAACA
rnacentral:rRNA from 1 species